AGUUCCACCGCGAUCGCCAGCAUCGACACUGGAACACCCGGGCGAGCUCCGUAGCGAUCAGUUUUCAGGUUCCAGGGCAGCAGGGACGAGCUCGUGACGUCUCGGGCAAGCCUUCCGUUGCUGGCGGUACACUAGCGGUUACCGGAUUGCGUCAAGACUCGAAGGUGAUGCGAUGAACGCACACCCUGUGUUGGGCCCGUGGGAUUGAGUCCACUGGGAGCUGGAAGGCUUUGAAUGGGAGCCUCAAGGUUCCCGGGGUAUUGGAAGCCCGCCAGCGAACUACCCUGCGGGUGCACCGGUGCCCAUGGGCGGCUCCAAGCUUCCCUGGAUGCAGGGACACGGCAGCGUGCAUUGCUGUUGUUGAGCCUGGCUCGAGAGACUCGGGCGGGUAUGCACGCUUGAACGUAGCCAAGGCGACAUUGGGAUUUUCGUACCUUCGAGCUGCGGCAACUCUUUGAAGAUUUACGUUAUGUAAACUGCACUAAUGCCAGAAUAAACUGGAACUGGUGGUCUCAUUCAGGAGUACACCCUAGCGUACGAGUCGCUUUCCGUUGUUAAGAAAACUAGUCUCUACGGGCUUUGAAGGCGACUGCUUCAUGCUCCUCCUACUUAUCUCCGGCCUGAAAUACGCCAGUUUAUGCUGUCCGUCCAUCGAUGUUGAUGGCAUCGUUAAAGUCACGAUUUUGCUUCCUCUAGACACUGUUCACGCAUAUCAUGGACAGGUGGAAGUUGCGAUCGACGAUUCGCUUACCGUGCUCAUCAGCUUCGUUUGCAAUCUCGCUGCGCGCUUCGCAGCGUUGACACUGAACGGGGUUUUGAGGUUCCCAUUAGUCUAUGGCAUGUUCUGGCCCGAGUGGCGCCCUGUGGCACGUAGACUAAUGGGAACCGUCUUGGACACACGCUGUCCUAGUACAGCAGGCUACCCGCCAUGAACUCCUCGGUUCGCGCGCCCGUUGCCGAACCCUACGAUCACGGCGUCUUCUGGGCGGUCUUCUCAGCGAGUACUCUGUCUGCUGCGCGAGGACGCAAAUGCUGUCGUGCUCUUCGAUAGGGGAUUUCUGGAACGCGAUGUUCUUUAUGGUUGAACAAGAACCGGGAGGAGAAUCCAGGUUCAGAACAAUUCGAGAAAUUACAAUCUGUCUGCGCUUCCGUUGUGCAAAGCAGUGACGUAUUUUCGAUUCCACACGGUCGCUGCGAUGACACGAGUCCGACUCCAAAACCCUUUGCGAUGGGAGCGGUAGAGACGGCACCCGCUGGUAGCACAUCCGGUGUGCAGGAACGUGCUGGUGACGAAUCCCGCGUAGUCGAUGUUCACUGAGAGGGAGGGUUUUGUGUUUCGGACAGAUUUGACUAUUAUUCGGCGUGAAAUGUUCAGUGUACAAGUCUGCUCGAGCAAGUGCGUCGAGAUUCUUUUAUCUUCAAUGCAAGGACGCCAAUCGAUGCGCCUAUGAGGUGCCUUGAAACAGAACUAGUGAAAACUCGUAGAAUGCGUGAUUUGAGCGUGCUAUAAGUUCGGAAUGGCAGGAUUCAGAGGCUCGAACGCGUGAACCGGAUAAUGAAAGUGGCUAUUUUAGGAACCGUUAUUGGAGAACGUUGCGAAUUAUCUUGAUUUCGGUGAUGUAACACAUGCCAGCUACAAAGCGGCGACGUAGCCACUCCAAAGAAACGACUGAGAAUCCUCAUGCAAUACGUGAAUCGAUUCGCUUUUCCGCUUGCACUGCAAAUGUUUGGCGUGUGUGCAGUUCGCAAAGCUCUGAACUAUCGAUAUACUGCAGCUGGGCGAGCAGUCCAGUGUUCUAUUUUAAUUUGGCUGAAUCUGAACGGCAACAAAGUGUCGGCAUGGAGGUUGCCCCAGCUCUCUGCGACGCCUAUUCGGAUGUUGGAACAACGUCCUAGAUUCGUGAUUCGCCCCAAGGGUCGCUUGAUUGCGUUUACACUUCACGGACGAACUCGGAAACAGCGAUAGAGAUCGUCAACGACCUGCUACCCGGAAGCCUUCUGGCGAGUUCACUGCCUUGACUAUACCUGCAACAACUGGCAGCGAGCGCUACACAGUUCGAUACUCGGAUCCUGUACUGUACAAGGGCUUCAUUUUGUUGGGUGCACGCAUGCACUGCAGCCAACACUCAGAGGCUGUUGGUAUGGAUCAAGUCACACGUUUCGGGCACCAGUGCGCUGUGCUGGUGGUGCGUUCGACGCGGGUUUCGUCGAAGCCCCCGAAACCCCACGGAGCUGACCGCUGGCUUCGUGUCCUCUCCUGGUCUGUGGACGCUUCGACAUUGCAACAGCGCAGAAAACGGUUGCCGAAUGCGGUUCUUUGGCGCUUAUCCCGUCUUUGGAAAGAGACAACGAGCGUACCGACUUGAGCCCGGAAAGCACGCGUGUCUCGACUUGUGCAUGAGUAUCCAGAUCUUACGCAAAAAGACCUAUUCUGUUCUGGUUUACAAUUUUGGGAUUAGGCGUUGUCGUAGACGAGCGCUCACUCUGAGACGUAACCGGGUUUCGUUCAGUUGAAGAAGCGACCCGGGUGGGUCAGGAGCGCACCUGGUUCCGUCUGCCGCUGCGUACGAGGGUGCAAAACGCUUUUUUACAAGCAUUCGUGUGAGAGCUGCUAUUCUAGCCGCUGAUCAUCUUGAGUAUGAACGACGCCAGCGCAGAGGAAAGUUGCACGCGGCUAUCGCCGAUCCACUUGGAAGCCUGGAUCAAGAAGAACAGAGACCUGUUGCGACCGCCGGUGGGCAACGUCGUCCUGGCAGAUGGUGGAUUUCUCGUAAUGCUCGUCGGUGGUCCCAACGUCCGAACCGACUACCAUAUUGAGAACUAUGAAGAAAUCUUUUACCAGAUUGAGGGCGAUAUUUCAUUAAAAAUCGUUGACGAAC